rnacentral:rRNA from 1 species
UACGUAGGGGGCGAGCGUUAUCCGGAAUUAUUGGGCGUAAAGAGUGCGUAGGUGGUUGUUUAAGCGUGGGGUGAAAGGCAAUGGCUUAACCAUUGUGAGCCUCGCGAACUGGGCGACUUGAGUGCAGGAGAGGAAAGCGGAAUUCCUAGUGUAGCGGUGAAAUGCGUAGAUAUUAGGAGGAACACCAGUGGCGAAGGCGGCUUUCUGGACUGUAACUGACACUGAGGCACGAAAGCGUGGGGAGCAAACAGGAUUAGAUACCCUGGUAGUCCCU